rnacentral:lncRNA from 1 species
AGGAGCUUCUCUGAACUCUUCAGUACCGUCAAAUAUAGAACUCUAAAAUCUAAAUCUAUGAUUUUUCGGUAACCACCGACGAUGCCCCAUGUAAGAGAACUUCUUCCCAUUGUACAACCAUUGCGAACAUGUUUGUGCAGCACAAUAAGGACACGUAUAACGACCCUUGGUACUCCAACCGGAUAAAUUGGCAUAAGCGAGAAAGUCAUUAAUGGUCCACAUCAAAGCUACACGUAAAUUAAAGUUCUCAUUUCUCAACACAUCGUAUGUUUUGACACCAUCCCAUAAUUGUUUUAACUCUUCAAUAAGUGGCUGUAAA